rnacentral:tRNA from 2 species
UGGAGUAUAGCCAAGUGGUACGGAAUCAGUUUUUAGUACGACAUGCAAAGGUUCAAAUCCUUUUACUCCAG